GAGUGCAUACAUGGGUAUGACGUGCUCUGCACAUUUAGGAUUGAAGUAUUGUGUUGCAGCACUCAGUGACGUUAAUUUAGGGCAUUUCAGUGUCAGUUUCACUAUAUUUCGGGGGACAUUUAACAGUGCAAUUUCAUGGUUAUUACAGUGUAAUUUCAAGGUUCUUGCACUGUAAGUUCAGAGAAUUACAAUGUUAGUUUAUGUGAAUUCCCGUGCAUUUUACUGUGUAAUUUAAGUGCAAUGGAAAUUAUAGUGCAAAUUCAGUGUAAUUUACUAUGUAAAUUUACGGAAAUUACACUGUAAUUCGUGUGCAACUUUUAGUGUAAUUUACACUGUAAUUUCAACGGGUUUACAGUAGAGUAAUUUAAGUGUAAUUACAGUGUGCACUUUAGAGCAAUCAUACUAUAUAUUUAGUGAAUUUAAAGUAUCACUCCAUACCUUUCGGGUUUGUCUUUUUUCUCUACAAGUUACUGCUAUACUGUUGAUUGAUUCUACCCUUGCGUAAGAAACUUUGAUGAGCACAUAAUUUUCUACUAUGUAAUUUGAGCAGCUUGGUAACCGUAAUUUUCAGUUUCCUUUGACCCUAGGCCCUUCUGCUUUAGAAUUGCUAUUUUUUGUCAGUGUACAUGCUAGAUCAUGUGGUUUAUGAUACUUCUCUGGUCCUUAUAAACAAAGUGACAUGUUUGUGCUGUGGAAUAGAAAGAAUAUUUCAGUGUCUCUCGUUAGGCCUUUUGUCGAAUUGUUAUGUGGUCCGGCGCAGCCUUACGAAACCGGGUUCUAUGCAGUUCAUGUACAGUGCAAAACUCAUUAUUGCAGGUCAGGCCUGUUGCAUGUUUUGGGUCAUUGACAUGCAGGAAAGAAGGAAAAAGGACAUAGAAGUAUCAUUUUGUUAUUGGUCAAGAAAUUUGAAUAAUGUCCAACUGAUUUCAGUUGAAUGACAAAUAGACAAUCCCUUGUUUAAUCAGUAGAUAUACACCAUUAACUCAAAUACCAAAGAAAUACUAGUCCACUUAUAAUCGAUGAUUGCGCAUGAUGCAUCCAUCCAUUCUAUCGGAGAGGCUGUGUUUUUUUUCUUCUUGUGCUAAGGUUGAUAGCAUCACAUAUCUUAUGCUUUUGUUUCUAAAGUAGAGCCUUGAGAUAGAUGUGUCUGCAACUGUCCUCGAAUGGUUGUGCAAUAAUAAUGGUCCUAGCUAAUUACUAGUAUGCACUGCUUAUAAAACAACAUGCUGCUCGUUUCUGUAACAUCCCAAAUUUUCAAUUUGGAAGAUUAUACACUAGAUCAUCAUGCAUAGCAUAUUUUCUUGCAUUUUGGUCGGUCCUAGAAAUUUUACGCAACUCAAGGACCCACGGAGAGAGUUGGAGAUUUCGCUAUUUUUAUAUUUAAGAGUUUUCUCAAAUUUGAAAAGAGGAUCAUUUGAUUUAUUUAUUUCAUCUUCAAUUAUUUUUCCCAAUAUCAAAAUAUGAGAGAGGGGAAUAAUAUGACUUUCCUAAAGUUAGGAAAAAUGAAGAUUUAAUGAAUAAGUCAAAUUUUGGUUUUGCCGGAGUUUAUUCGCAUUUUAUUUGGAUAGGGAAAAAUGCGUGUUUUCGAAAAUUGCAUUUUAGGUCCGGAGUAAAGUUCAUUUUGUUCGACUCAUUUUUAGGAGUCGGAGAAAAUUUACUUUAGAAUUUUCGGAGUUCGUUUAGUUUCUUUUCUGUGUUUUUCUGCGCACGAAACCGUUAAAAAAAAUCUUGCAGCGCCCUGGGCCAAGGCCCAGCCAGCAGCCGGCCGGCCAGGUCAUCGCCCGCGCCGCGCCCGCCAGGCGCCAGGAGGCCACCGCCGCCGCCCCUUUUGGAGUCCUAGUAGGACUUUAGUCCUACUCCGUUUCCUCUUUUUCUUUCCUAUUCCUACUCUAUUUCUUGUCCCCUACCCCAAGAAACCCCCUCCCCUCACUAAUAUAAAUACCCCCACACCCCCCCUCCAAAACAUCAAAUCAAACCCCAAGCCCCACACCACCCCGCACCGCCAAGCCGCGCCCCACGCCGCCGCCCUUGUGCAUCGCCGCNNNNNNNNNNNNNNNNNNNNNNNNNNNNNNNNNNNNNNNNNNNNNNNNNNNNNNNNNNNNNNNNNNNNNNNNNNNNNNNNNNNNNNNNNNNNNNNNNNNNNNNNNNNNNNNNNNNNNNNNNNNNNNNNNNNNNNNNNNNNNNNNNNNNNNNNNNNNNNNNNNNNNNNNNNNNNNNNNNNNNNNNNNNNNNNNNNNNNNNNNNNNNNNNNNNNNNNNNNNNNNNNNNNNNNNNNNNNNNNNNNNNNNNNNNNNNNNNNNNNNNNNNNNNNNNNNNNNNNNNNNNNNNNNNNNNNNNNNNNNNNNNNNNNNNNNNNNNNNNNNNNNNNNNNNNNNNNNNNNNNNNNNNNNNNNNNNNNNNNNNNNNNNNNNNNNNNNNCCGCCCAACGCCGCCGUUCACCGGAGCCCCUCGCCGGAACCUCGCCGAGGUAGCCGCGCCGCGUCUCUCCGAUCCCCUCGAUUCAGUUUUUCUUCUAAACCGUUCCUGUUCUUUCUUAACCAUUCCGGUUUUCUUUCGUUCUUUGUUUCGGUUUUCUUUUCCGAAAACCCUAGAUCGGUUUUCGUUCUUCUUUCGGACCGUUCGUCUCAACGAACGUGAUCACCGAUUAUUCCCGGUUAACGACGCCCGUUCGUUUAACCAUUUGUCUCUUUCUUUUCGUCGGAUUUAUUCCGCGAUCGCGAUCUCUCCGAUCUUCGUUCUAGUCUUUCUUCUCGCUCGUUUAUCGGAAUCAGGUGAUUCAAGCGCCUGGAUUUCGUUUCGAAACCGCCGUUCCGUCUAAUCAACUUAAACAAGUUUUUGCCCCGGUAAAAUUUGACCUAGUUUCAACUUGCUAGAACCGAGUUGUUUUCUUCCGCCGUUUGUUUUCCGUUUCUUUGUUCGGUUCGUUCUUUCUUUGCAACCGUAGUUCUUAAGUUGAACUUCCUGGUUCGUUCAGCUGUUCGAGUUUUACCUGUGCAUUAGAUGAGUACUUAUUGUGUGCUUGUUGUUUGUCUGCGAUAGAAUACCCGGAGUGCGCCGCUUGUUACUUCAAAACCCUAGGUUACGCUGAUCAUCAGCAAGGCACGUAACACUUUGAUCAUACCUUUUCUACAACCCAUGUUUUAUUGCAUUAGAUCAAUCCUCUCACAUUGCAUGAUUAGGAUCCAAUUAAAUUAUGGGAUGGGAAGUAGAUGAGGUAGUACCUAUUACCUGUAUUAUUAUAAAACCUUUGGGAGUUACUUCUACGUUUGCUUAUUAUGCCAUGCUAUGCCAGUAGACGUGGAUUGGGUGAGUGAUAUCCAUGACAGAUGUGAGUUGAUAAUUUUAAUGGUUUAUCUAAGGUGGCAACUUAAACACACAUCUGGGUGGAUUGAGGCACCUGAUGUCUAUCAGGACUUGCCUGUUUUAUUUUGGACCGCCACCCAGGCUCAAAGGGAUCAUAAGAUCAUUCAUGCUAGAAACAUCCAUGUGCAGCCACAUGCUACUAUGGGCUCUGGCAUAGUUGACUAAGUUGUGCGAACUCUUACGGGGUGGACUAACAGAUGUAGGGGUUGUAGGUGGUACGGUCUACCCCACAUGUAAGGUGCUAGCGCUUCUGAAAGACUAUGUCUCGGUCAUCCGUCUUCUCAAACACCCUGUAGUGUGAGAAACCAAACAGAGGCGAUCGAGUCAUGUGGGGAAAAGUGCGCAAACCUCUGCAGAGUGUACAAACUAAUCAUGAUUAGCCGUGUCCCCGGUUAUGGACAACUUGAGUAUCUAGUACUUGAAUAUCAUGUGAAUCUCAUCACGUUACUUCUAAUUAAUGUUGUUGGGUUUUAAUUGUUCACUUAAUUGGGAUUGAGGAUGCUUUCAACCAUUCUCAAUGUUUCACAACCACCAUGAUAGUUAAAUAAAUUUAUUCCUUUGCAGUAGGGAAAAACUGGCUUUACGCAAAACUGUAACCAUAGAGCUUUCCACCAGCCAUAUAUGCAUAUAGUAUAGCUGUUUCAUUCCAUUACUCUCUAUGUGUUACUUUGCCAGUAUAUUCCAUGUGCUGACCCGUUUUCGGGCUGCAACUUUCAUGUUGCAGACUUUUCAGACGACGAUUAAGGAGUUGUUAGGUCAUGGUUCUAUACUCAGUGAUGCCGUUGGAGUUGAUGGACCCAUUUAUCUUCCGAGUCUUCCGCUGUUAUCGACACUAGAUGGCCUUAAGCCAUAUUUAUUGUAAUAAGUUCUCUUUGAGACAACGAUGUAAUAAGUGUGUGAUUGCCACUCUGCUAUAAAUCCUUCGAUGUACUGUGUGGUGUCAGCAUUACUGAUCCAGGGAUGACACCGGAGCACAGUAGACUUGGUCCAUUCGGGUCGGGUCGCCAUAGAGAUGGUAUUAGAGCACACGCUGACUAUAGGACACGACCACUAAGUUAAAGCCAUAGAUCACCAUUCUCUUCUCAUUUUCUAACUCCUCAUCCUUUCUACUCUUUUAGGAUGACGAACCGAAGAUUAAGUACGCUCAACCGGAUGAAGGCACACCAUUUGGAUUUCACUUGAAGAAGUCACCAAGUACCUGGACAUUGGAUUACCAAACUUCACGGGAACCUUCGACGCCACUCUGCCUGAAGAGGAGCGCUGGAAGAUUCAAACUCACGUUCCGGGAAGGACAUUCGCGCCAAUCACAAAGCCCAUAGAUAGUGUUUUCAAUGCACCAACCUGGAGUCUGGGAAGGAGCAUGGCAGCUCAUAUCACCAUAGGACGCAAUGGAGAAGUUUACCAAGAAGACCUCAAGGACACUAUCUACCAGAUUUGUGGACGCCGAGAUGAACAAUGGGAGUUAGUAAGCACCAAGAAGGAUAGAUCCAUUGCAUCUUACAUCCAGGAGUUAAACCAGCACAUUUGACACCACGAGAACCAGAUGUGCAAUGAUAUGAUAGAGUUGAAGAAUGCAAAGGCAAGGAUUAUUGAGCUAGAAGGAGAACUGAAGUCUGCACGCAAGGACUACAUAGACGAGAUCGUAGCUCUAGCUAGACACAAUGGCGAUCUUAAGCAGGAGAUUGAAGAACUCAAGAGGAAGUUAGCAUCCACGGAGGAAGACGAGUACGUCGCAUGUCUGGACAACUACAUCAUCAUCAAUGACACCGAUUCAGAUCCAAGUGAACCCGACUUUGAAGACGAAGCUGGAGCAGAUAUCAUGGAGUCUUCCACCGGUUCAAUUUUCUAGAUGACCACCAGAUAGUAGUAGCAUUUCCCCCCCGCCCCCCCUGUAAACAUUAUAGUUCGAGCACUUUUGCGAUAGUUUUAGACCGACUGUAAGCCCUUGUUUGAUUGAAUGAAGUGAUUUUGUGUGCAUUUGCUCAUGUUCAUUGGGGUAGUGUUUUCCCUUUAGACCUCACUCUAUUCUUAAUUCUCGUCUUUUCUAAACCCUCAGAUGCCUCCGAGACGUGACAAUGGAUUCCCACCGGAACUCACUCAGUUGAUCCAGCAGCAGAAUCAAUUGAUGCAGAUGUUAGCCCAGAACCAAUAGAACAACAACAACCCACCACCACCACCUGUUGACCACUUAGCCCAUUUCCUUAGGCUGAAUCCGCCGGUGUUUUCUAGUAGCACCGAGCCGAUAGUAGGAGACGAUUGGCUCCGCAAGAUAGGAAGGGAGUUGACCACUGCAGGAUGCACGGAUGGUGAGAAAGUGAAGUUUGCCGCUCACCAGCUUGACAGACCCGCGGCAGCAUGGUGGGAGAACUUCACAGCCACUUACCCAGUUGACACUAUCACAUGGGAUCAGUUUCAGCAGGCUUUUCGUACCGCCCAUGUUUCAGCAGGAGCAAUGACCAUGAAGAAGCGUGAGUUUCGUAACUUACGCCAAGGAGGAAGGACAGUUGGCCAGUAUGUUGACGAUUUCAGCAAGUUAGCACGUUAUGCCCCAGAUGAUGUUGCUACGGAUGCAACUAAGCAGGAGAAAUUCCUGGAAGGACUGAAUGAUGAACUAAGCAUGAAGUUGAUGGUAGCGAGUUUCAACAACUACCAGGAGUUGGUAGAUCGUGCCAUCAUGAUUGAAGGGAAGCAACAACAGAUUGAGAACCGUAAGAGGAAGUAUGGACAUGGGAAGUAUAACUCUGGAGCCCAGCAGAAGCCCCGUUUUACCCCAAAACCGGGAUUUCAGUUUCAGCAUACCCAUGGAGGAGGUAGCUCGCACAACCAUAAUGGCCAUAAGAAUGGUAAUGGGAAUGGAGGAAGCAACGGCCAGAAUCGUACCAUCCCAUCGACCCCAACCAAGAGAGAUCUGAGUCAAGUCACCUGUUUCAAGUGUUCCAAGACCGGACAUUAUGCCAAUGAAUGUCCCGAAGGCCAGAAUGGAAAUGGUAAUGGAAGCUCUGGGAAGAAGCCGAACCCUUUCAAUAGAGGACAGGUGAACCACGUUAAUGUGGAGGAGGUUGAAGAUCAGCCUGAUGCGGUAAUCGGUAAGUUUCUGGUUAAGUCAUUUACCGCACUCGUUCUUUUUGAUACUGGUGCAUCGCAUUCAUACAUAUCAAGGGGAUUUGUGGAUAAAUAUAACCUGCCAACCCAAGCCCUUAGGUCACCCAUGUUAGUAAGCUCACCAGGAGCAGAGUUUAUGGCUAGACGAUGGUGUGAUCGGUUACCAUUAAGGAUUGGUAACUAUGUGUUUCCCUCAGACCUAAUAGUAUUGGAAUCUCAAGGAUUGGAUGUGAUAUUAGGCAUGGAUUGGUUAUCAAAGCAUGAAGGGAAUAUUGAGUGUGCUAGUAAGUCAAUUUUUCUUACCACACCCGAAGGAAGAAGGAUCAAGUAUGUAUCCCGGCAUGUGCCAAACAUGACACAAGUAAACUGCCUAACAGGAGUUGUGCAAGAAGAAGUACCAGUGGUAAAGGAUUUUCCUGAUGUAUUUCCUGAGGAAUUACCAGGCAUGCCACCGGAUAGGGACAUUGAGUUUUUGAUUGAGUUAUUGCCAGGUACAGGCCCAAUAUCGAAGCGACCGUACCGGAUGCCAGCAAAGGAUUUGGUGGAAAUUAAGAAUCAGAUUAAGGAGUUAUUGGAUAAAGGUUACAUUCGCCCAAGUUCUUCGCCUUGGGGAUCACCCGUACUUCUAGUGGAAAAGAAGGAUGUAUCAUUAAGGAUGGUUGUAGAUUAUCGGGGAUUGAAUGAAGUAACCAUCAAGAACAAGUACCCACUGCCAAUGAUUAAUGAUCUGUUUGAUGGUUUGCAAGGAGCUAAAGUAUUUUCCAAGAUCGAUUUGCGAUCAGGGUACCAUCAGUUGAAGAUUCGAGAGCAGGACAUACCUAAGGCAGCAUUCACCACAAGAUAUGGACUGUAUGAGUAUACCGUUAUGUCAUUUGGAUUGACUAACGCACCUGCCUAUUUUAUGAACCUGAUGAACAAAGUGUUUAUGGAGUUUUUGGAUAAGUUCGUCGUAGUGUUCAUUGAUGACAUCCUGGUUUAUUCAAAGAAUGAAGAGGAGCAUAAGGAACAUUUGCGUUUGGUUUUGGAGAAACUAAGGGAACAUCAGUUAUACGCCAAAUUCAGCAAAUGUGAGUUUUGGUUGAAGGAAGUUGGAUUCCUCGGACACGUUAUAUCCGGAGAAGGUAUAGCAGUUGACCCCACUAAGGUUGAGACCGUAACCGAAUGGGAAUCGCCAACGACAGUUGGAGAGAUCCGGAGUUUUCUUGGACUCGCAGGAUACUACCGGAGGUUCAUUGAGAACUUUUCAAAGAUUGCAAAGCCUAUGACUGAAUUGUUGAAGAAGGAUACUAAGUUCAAUUGGACUGAGGAAUGUGAGGCUAGUUUCCAGGAAUUGAAGAAACGCUUGGUUACCUCACCAGUAUUGAUUUUACCAGAUCAGACCAAGAAUUAUGAGGUGUAUUGCGAUGCUUCACGUCGAGGACUUGGAGCAGUGCUUAUGCAGGAAGGGAGAGUUGUUUCGUAUGCUUCACGACAACUGAAGCCUCAUGAGUUGAAUUAUGCCAUGCAUGAUUUGGAGUUAGCAGCCGUAGUGCAUGCAUUGAAAACGUGGAGACAUUUCCUCAUUGGAAAUCACUGUGAGGUGUACACGGAUCACAAGAGUUUGAAGUACAUUUUCACGCAGAAGGAGUUGAACCUCAGACAAAGGAGAUGGUUGGAGCUCAUCAAGGAUUAUGACAUGAGAUUGCAUUACCAUCCCGGAAAGGCUAAUGUAGUAGCUGACGCAUUGAGCCGUAAGAGCCAUGUCAAUACCCUAGUGACGGGAGAAGUACCAAAGGAGUUAGCAGAAAACAUUCGUGAGCUAUGUUUGGAAAUAGUUCCGAGAGGCUAUGUAGCAGCAUUGGAGAUUCAGUCAACAUUGAUGGAUAAGAUCAGAGAAGCUCAGAAAUCUGACAAGGAGAUUGCUGCUAUAAAAGAGAAAUUGAGCGAAGGAAAAGCAAAGGGAUUUCGUGAGGACGAGCACGAUACCUUAUGGUUUGAGGACCGUGUUUAUGUGCCAAAUGACCCGGAGAUCAGGAAGUUGAUUUUGCAAGAGGCACAUGAUUCACCGUAUUUGAUACACCCAGGGAAUACCAAGAUGUAUUUGGAUUUGAAGGAAACAUUCUGGUGGACCGGAAUGAAGAAGGAUAUUGCAGCCUAUGUAGCAGUUUGUGACGUAUGUCAGAGAGUAAAGGCAGAUCAUCAGAAGCCAGCAGGAUUGUUACAACCAUUGCCGAUACCCGAAUGGAAGUGGGAAAAGAUAGGCAUGAAUUUUAUCACAGGACUACCCAGGACAAAAUCAAGCUAUGACUCGAUAUGGGUAGUAGUUGAUCGUUUGACGAAGGUAGCACAUUUUAUUCCAGUUAAGAUCACUUACACCAGUGCUAAGUUGGCGAAGAUAUACAUGACUAGGAUCAUUUGUUUGCAUGGAGUUCCGAGGAGUAUCGUAUCAGAUAGAGGAACUCAAUUUACCUCAAAGUUUUGGAAUCAGUUGCAUGAAACUUUAGGAACCAGACUAGAGUUCAGCACAGCUUUUCAUCCGCAGACGAAUGGACAGACCGAGAGAGUCAAUCAGAUUUUGGAAGAUAUGCUGAGAGCUUGUGCACUAGAUUAUGGAUCUAGUUGGGACGAUAACUUGCCGUAUGCGGAGUUUUCUUAUAACAACAGUUACCAAACCAGUUUGAAGAUGGCACCUUUCGAAGCUUUAUACGGAAGGAGGUGUAGGACACCGUUGUCAUGGGACGAAGUUGGAGACCGUCAAUUCUUUGGACCAGAUUUGAUUAAGGAGUCUGAACGGAAAUUUAAGUUGAUUCGCGAGAGGCUCAAGGUAGCCCAGUCCAGGCAGAAGAGCUACGCAGAUUCUAAACGCAAGGAGACAGUCUACGAAACCGGAGACAGAGUUUAUCUUCGAGUAUCCCCACUUCGAGGAGUAAAGCACUUUGGAGUUAAGGGAAAGUUAGCACCGCGUUUUGUUGGACCGUAUAAGAUCUUGCAACGUAUGGGAGAAGUCGCUUAUAAGUUGGAAUUACCAGAGGGACUGUCAGGAGUUCAUGAUGUAUUCCAUGUUUCUCAGCUGAAGAAAUGUCACGCCGAGAUAGCGGAGGUACCGCUAAGAGAUACAGUACCACUCGAAGCGAUUCAGUUGAAGGAUGACUUAACAUAUGAGGAGAAGCCAGUCAAGAUUCUUGAUUAUGCCAGCAGAGUUACCCGCAGCAAGGUUAUCAAGUUUUGCAAAGUUCAGUGGAACCACCACUCAAAGGAUGAAGCCACCUGGGAAAGUGAAGAAGAUUUGCUCAAGGACCACCCUCACCUAUUUUCUAGCCAACCCGAAUCUCGAGGGUGAGAUUCAACUUAAGGGGGGUAGGUUUGUAACAUCCCAAAUUUUCAAUUUGGAAGGUUAUACACUAGAUCAUCAUGCAUAGCAUAUUUUCUUGCAUUUUGGUCGAUCCUAGAAAUUUCACGCAACUCAAGGACCCACGAAGAGAGUUGGAGAUUUCGCUAUUUUCAUAUUUGAGAGUUUUCUCAAAUUUGAAAAGAGGAUCAUUUGAUUUAUUUAUUUCAUCUUCAAUUAUUUUUCCCAAUAUCAAAAUAUGAGAGAGGGGAAUAAUAUGACUUUCCCAAAGUUAGGAAAAAUGAAGAUUUAAUGAAUAAGUCAAAUUUUGGUUUUGCCGGAGUUUAUUCACAUUUUAUUUGGAUAGGGAAAAAUGCGUGUUUUCAAAAAUUGCAUUUUAGGUCUGGAGUAAAGUUCAUUUUGUUCGACUCAUUUUUAGGAGUCGGAGAAAAUUUACUUUAGAAUUUUCGGAGUUCGUUUAGUUUCUUUUCUGUGUUUUUCUGCGCGCGAAACCGUUAAAAAAAAAUCUUGCAGCGCCCUGGGCCAAGGCCCAGCCAGCAGCCGGCCGGCCGGGCCAUCGCCUGCGCCGCGCGCGCCAAGCGCCAGGAGGCCGCCGCCGCCGCCCCUUUUGGAGUCCUAGUAGGACUUUAGUCCUACUCCGUUUCCUCUUUUUCUUUCCAAUUCCUACUCUAUUUCUUGUCCCCUACCCCAAGAAACCCCCUCCCCUCACCAAUAUAAAUACCCCCACAUCCCCUCCUCCAAAACAUCAAAUCAAACCCCAAGCCCCACACCACCCCGCGCUGCCAAGCCGCGCCCCACCCCGCGCCCCUCACCCACGCCGCCGCCCAACGCCGCCGUUCGCCGGAGCCCCUCGCCGGAACCUCGCCGAGGUAGCCGCGCCGCGUCUCUCCUAUCCCCUCGGUUCAGUUUUUCUUCUAAACUGGUCCGGUUCUUUCUUAACCGUUCCGUUUUUCUUUCGUUCUUUGUUUUGGUUUUCUUUUCCGGAAACCCUAGAUCGGUUUUCGUUCUUCUUUCGGACCAUUCGUCUCAAGGAACGUGAUCACCGAUUAUUCCCGGUUAACGACGCCCGUUCGUUUAACCGUUCUUCUCUUUCUUUUCGUCGGAUUUAUUCCGCGAUCGCGAUCUCAGAUCCGAUCUUCGUUCUAGUCUUUCUUCUCGCUCAUUUACCGGAAUCAGGUGAUUCAAGCGCCUGGAGUUUCGUUUCGAAACCGCCGUUCCGUCUAAUCAACUUAAACAAGUUUUUGCCUGGGUAAAAUUUGACCUAGUUUCAACUUGCUAGAACCGAGUUGUUUUCUUCCGCCGUUUGUUUUCCGUUUUUUUGUUCGGUUCGUUCUUUCUUUGCAACCGGAGUUCUUAAGUUGAACUUCCUGGUUCGUUCUCCUGUUCGAGUUUUACCUGUGCAUUAGAUGAGUACUUAUUGUGUGCUUGUUGUUUGUCUGCGAUAGAAUACCCGGAGUGCACCGCUUGUUACUUCGAAACCCUAGGUUACGCGGAUCAUCAGCAAGGCAAGUAACACUUUGAUCAUACCUUUUCUACAACCCAUGUUUUAUUGCAUUAGAUCAAUCCUCUCACAUUGCAUGAUUAGGAUCCAAUUAAAUUGAGGGAUGGGAAGUAGAUGAGGUAGUACCUAUUACCUGUAUUAUUAUAAAACCUUUGGGAGUUACUUCUACGUUUGCUUAUUAUGCCAUGCUAUGCUAGUAGACGUGGAUUGGGUGAGUGAUAUCCAUGACAGAUGUGAGUUGAUAAUUUUAAUGUCUUAUCUAAGGUGGCAACUUAAACACACAUCUGGGUGGAUUGAGGCACCUGAUGCCUCUCAGGACUUGCCUGUUUUAUUUUGGACCGCCACCCAGGCUCAAAGGGAUCAUAAGAUCAUUCAUGCUAGAAACUUCCGUGUGCAGCCACAUGCUACUAUGGGCUUUGGCAUAGUUGACUAAGUUGUGCGAACUCUUACGGGGUGGACUAGCAGAUGUAGGCGUUAUAGGUGGUACGGUCUACCCCACAUGUAAGGUGCUGGCGCUUCUGAAAGACUAUGGCUCGGUCAUCCGUCUUCUCAAACACCCUGUAGUGCGAGAAACCAAACGGAGGCGAUCGAGUCAUGUGGGGAAAAGUGCGCAAACCUCUGCAGAGUGUACAAACUAAUCAUGAUUAGCCGUGUCCCCGGUUAUGGACAACUUGAGUAUCUAGUACUUGAAUAUCAUGUGAAUCUCAUCAUGUUACUUCUAAUUAAUGUUGUUGGGUUUUAAUUGUUCACUUAAUUGGGAUUGAGGAUGCUGUCAACCAUUCUCAAUGUUUCACAACCACCAUGAUAGUUAAAUAAAUUUAUUCCUUUGCAUUAGGGAAAAACUGGCUUUACGCAAAACUGUAACCAUAGAGAUUUCCACCAGCCAUAUAUGCAUAUAGUAUAGCUGUUUCAUUCCAUUACUAUCUAUGUGUUACUUUGCCAGCAUAUUCCAUGUGCUGACCCGUUUUCGGGCUGCAACUUUCAUGUUGCAGACUUUUCAGACAACGAUUAAGGAGUUGUUAGGUCGUGGUUCUAUACUCAGUGAUGCCGUUGGAGUUGAUGGACCCAUUUAUCUUCCGAGUCUUCCGCUGUUAUCGACACUAGAUGGCCUUAAGCCAUAUUUAUUGUAAUAAGUUCUCUUUGAGACAACGAUGUAAUAAGUGUGUGAUUGCCACUCUGCUAUAAAUCCUUCGAUGUACUGUGUGGUGUCAGCAUUACUGAUCCAGGGAUGACACCGGAGCACAGUAGACUUGAUCCAUUCGGGUCGGGUCGCCACAGCUUCACUUUGAGUAUGCUGUUGCUGCUAAAGUAGCAACAACAACAACCAUGCUUUGGUUCCCCAAAAUUCAGAUGGCACUGGCAUCUCUACAUACACACAUAUGAAUAUGCACCUCGGUUUGGUUCAGUUUGCAUGUGUACCGUUGCUUUAACUUUGAUUGAAACUAUCUUGGUGGCACUUGCAUCAAUGCUGUGCUCUGCCCUUGUAUAUGUCCUUGGAGAAUAUGACCAUUGGACUGUAGGGGACGAACAACCUUGUCCUUCUCAAGGAGGAGGAGGAUGGCCACCCCGAGCUCGAGGACGACACGGCAACAGGUAGCACUCACCUCCCUACCAAGGUGAAGGUCCGAUCCGCCUGUUUAGAUGGUCUGCUCUUGUCUUGUGCUCUGAGGGGAGAAGAAAGCCAUUGGCCUCAAUUAUAUUUGCAUGUGAGGGGAGCGAUCCUUUUGGUAGAUGCAGAGUAUAGAUUAGAUAUUCCACAAAACUCACCACACGAGUAUACUACCUAUAUCCACAAAAUUCACCACACGAGCAUACUACCUAUGUCCAAAUGUGGGUGUGAUACUUUCGACAUGAAACAUGAAUAUCAGGUUGGGAGUUUGGAGUUUAAUCAAAUAACGCAACAAGGCGAUCGUCGGUAGGGAUGCACCUUUGAGGCGGCAAGGAGAGCUUCUCAAAGGCAGUACACAUGGCUUAUUACUGCUUGUAUGUGAGUAUGCAGAUGUGGCGUCUAUGGAUAGAGGGUUAGGGGCGCAAUGCAAGCGGCAGUAGGGGAUACACAACCUGAUUUGAUUUGGUCAAUCACGGGAAAUGGGAGAAGGCCUAGGGUGCAAAGUUUGGAUCGGUGGGUUGGUAGGGUUAGGCAUAAUAGAGAUCAAACCUUUUUCAUAGGCGUAUGUAGGUUAUUUCCUUGAAGCAUUUUAUCAAAAUGGUGUAGGUGGGUAAUAUCUCUCAACUUAAAUGUGAAGGGGAGAUAUUAUUUCCUUGUAGAGGCCGAGGAAUACAUGGUGUACCGCUACAUAUGCAACCAUGAUUUUUUGUGGAUGGUUACGAGAGAACCUGAAAGAUACCAUGGACCGAAGCAUGGGCACAUGAAGUUCCAACACCGAAGGGUAAGGAGACGGGCCCGCGUCAUUUACGUCGGGAAUAUGCGACCUUGAUUCUUUGUGGAUGGUGAUGCCAAGACUAUAGGAUAAGGUGGAUCCGGACACAUGAGCAGAUGAAGUGCCUGACACGAAGUAGGUUAAGGAGCUGGACCCAAGUCAUCUACACCGCAGAUUGGUCGAAGGUGUGCCGCGAAUGAUAGAUGUACUUGAGGGGGGAGAAAGCCUGUGAAAAGAACAUACGGUUGAGUCCUGGACAACUCAAGAGUCCUGGGUUAAGUAUCUGUAGCCGUCCAUUGGACAACUCAAGAGUCCUGGGUUACUAUCCCACGUCAUGCUCCAUGUAAUGUGAAAGAAAAUCAUCUCCUUGGCCAAAUCCAUCCCACGUCAUGCUCCAUGUAAUGUGAAAAAAAUCAUCUCCCUGGCCAAAUUCUUCCUCCCCCGAUCUAUCAUGUGAGGCACUUGCGCAUCAUCCACAAAUCCCUAGCGAAAAUCCAUCCCACGUCAUGCUCCAUGUAAUGUGAAAAAAAUCAUCUCCCUGGCCAAAUUCUUCCUCCCCCGAUCUAUCAUGUGAGGCACUUGCGCAUCAUCCACAAAUCCCUAGUGCUGCUCUUCCAGGUCGUCCUCCUCCUUCCUAUCUUUUGCUGUCUUAAUGCAAAACGAUUCCGUGAGAUCCUUGUGAUCCUCUUCAUCUUCACGUAGAAAUCUGAACUGUCCCAACCACGCUGCAGAUCUGUGGUCCGUCCUGGACAAAGAGAAGGCCCUUUCAAUCUCCACAGAUGCCAUGCCCCAACCAAACCGCAACCCAUGAUAAACGAUGUUGUUGAGAAGGAGGCGCUACCUAAGUCUGAUCGGACAUAUGCCAUUGUUGGGGAAGCUACAAGUCGAUGAACUAUGGUAGACUGAUUGCAGGUAAUUAAGGAGCUAGCAACGAUCCAGCAGGUUUUUGUUAUUAGGAAUUUUUAUGUAGUGCGACUUGAUCUCAAAGAACAAGUACACCAUUAGAGUUCGUUUUGGAGGAUUUUGAUGAUGUGCGCUUAGUUACAGACUUAUCUAAAUACGUAUAACUAGGAUGGACAAUAUUUGUAGGAGCCAUACAAUUCAAUUAGGGGAUUCAGUUUGUUAAAGAUGUUUCCACAUAUCCCUAGCGCUGCUCUUCUAGGUUGCCCCCUGCUUCCUAUCUACGGUCUUCAAGUAAAGCGACUUAAUGAGUCUCCUGCUGCAGAAACUUCAACUGCCACAAGAAGGCUGCAGACCUGCGGUUCAUCUUGGUUGAGGUGUCAUACAAUCCAGUUAAGGGAUUCCAUUCAUUGAAGAUGUGGCUGUACUUUCGCACAACAAACUCAAGCACAUCUUCUUAUGUUCUUAGAAACUGGAUGAGUUGUUUUGGACUUUCUUUGGUCUACUCCUCUAUGCUUCUUAUUGGAAAAAACUACAGGUUCGAUUUGGAUCUGUACUUACAAUUUUAUGCUUCUGUAAUUAUCCUGUAGGCCAUGUCCAUCAUAGAAGCACAAAUAAUACUCUAUUCUGGUGAUUUUUAUUUAUCUAUAGUGUCGUCUGCAAGCCUAUUUAUAUGUUAUUUGCAGACAUGGAAUGUUUAUGCGUUCAAGAAGUCAAGAAGAUGACACCUUAGCAGUAUCUAUUUGAAGAAAGAUGGGAGAUCUAAAAAGAUGCUCAAGUUAACAUCAUGGUCCGUUCACCUCCUCAACACUGUUAAGAAGUAGCUCUGUGUGGAAAAUAAAAAUGCCAUGUUUUUUCAUCUUCAUGUCUUCUUAUUUCUGUCUAUAUUAUGCAGCAAGUGCUAACUGUUACUGUUACUUCCGUCUCUAACAAACCAAAUCAGUGGUUGGUACUUUGUUUCUCAAGUAAAAAAAAA
rnacentral:lncRNA from 1 species